rnacentral:rRNA from 1 species
CCUACGGGCGGCAGCAGUGGGGAAUAUUGGACAAUGGGGGGAACCCUGAUCCAGCCAUGCCGCGUGUGUGAAGAAGGCCCUCGGGUUGAAAAGCACUUUCAGUGAGGAAGAACGCCUGGUGGUUAAUACCCAUCAGGAAAGACAUCACUCACAGAAGAAGCACCGGCUAACUCCGUGCCAGCAGCCGCGGUAAUACGGAGGGUGCGAGCGUUAAUCGGAAUUACUGGGCGUAAAGCGCGCGUAGGUGGCUUGAUAAGCCGGUUGUGAAAGCCCCGGGCUCAACCUGGGAACGGCAUCCGGAACUGUCAAGCUAGAGUGCAGGAGAGGAAGGUAGAAUUCCCGGUGUAGCGGUGAAAUGCGUAGAGAUCGGGAGGAAUACCAGUGGCGAAGGCGGCCUUCUGGACUGACACUGACACUGAGGUGCGAAAGCGUGGGUAGCAAACAGGAUUAGAUACCCUGGUAGUC